UACGGGAGGCAGCAGUGGGGAAUUUUCCGCAAUGGGCGAAAGCCUGACGGAGCAAUACCGCGUGAGGGAGGAAGGCUCUUGGGUUGUAAACCUCUUUUCUCAGGGAAGAAGUUCUGACGGUACCUGAGGAAUCAGCAUCGGCUAACUCCGUGCCAGCAGCCGCGGUAAUACGGAGGAUGCAAGCGUUAUCCGGAAUGAUUGGGCGUAAAGCGUCCGCAGGUGGCACUCCAAGUCUGCUGUCAAAGGUCGGGGCUCAACUCCGAACAGGCAGUGGAAACUGGAGAGCUAGAGUGCGGUAGGGGCAGAGGGAAUUCCCGGUGUAGCGGUGAAAUGCGUAGAGAUCGGGAAGAACACCAGUGGCGAAAGCGCUCUGCUAGGCCGCAACUGACACUCAGGGACGAAAGCUAGGGGAGCGAAUGGGAUUAGAUACCCCAGUAGUCCUAGCCGUAAACGAUGGAUACUAGGCGUGGCAUGUAUCGACCCGUGCCGUGCCGGAGCUAACGCGUUAAGUAUCCCGCCUGGGGAGUACGCGCGCAAGCGUGAAACUCAAAAAAAUUGACGG
rnacentral:rRNA from 1 species